CCCAUCAAGAUCACUUCCAAAGGUCAAGGUCAAUUGACAUUUUUUAAUAGAAUAUCCAAAUUACAGGGCCCAUAAAGCAUUGGGUUGGGCUUUGCUUUUCAACACUGUUUACAUUUUAUAUAAAAAUCAUUGGAAUUUCUUGAGUGGUUCAAUACAUUCAACAACUGGGUCCAGAUGUUUUACACAUAAAGUAUAAAUGUGUUUGGUGAAACGGUUCCUGGAAGUAUGACAGUAGACUUAAAAUAUACUAGUCCAUCAGUAUUAUAAAUAAUGUUCAUUGCUAUAAAUUCUUGUCAUACAUGUGCAUGAGGGAUGAUGUGUGUAGUGUAAUGCUUCUUUGAUUUGUACUGUAAAACCUGUUAAUUUUUAAACCUGUUAAAUAAUAUGUAAAAUAUAUGAUGAUUGGGGAAAAGGGUGGUUAUAUUACUCUAUGUAUUAGAAAAAGAGAAAUAUCACAAUUUUUAUUUUUAUCAUAUUUUUUAAAUAUAAACAGUACAUUAAAAUUAUUUUAAAAUUCUUUUUAGCCAAAACAGUUUUAAUCUGGUUAGAAAUGACAGUGUUUUAAUUUAUUGUCUUGUUAUUUUAAGUUAAAAUAUUUCUGUUUUGUUUUUUUAGUGUCAUUCUCUGCAUUUUUAUUAGAACUGUUAGAAUGUAUUUUGUUUUAAUUCACAUUUCUUUUAUUUCUGGAUUAACUUUUUUUAUAUCAGAACCUUUUAACUAUGUUUAAUUUUAUCCUGUUCAGUUUUGGAUGAAAGCUUCAAUGAGACUUUAUAUCUAGUCAAUGCUGAGAAGUUCCAGUUCUGUGGUAGUUCUAUUCAAAGUUAAACUUAUGAGCUUUUAUCAUGUUUAUUGGUAAGGCUGGUUAACACACUAUUCUUAUUAUUAUGUGACUUACAUGUAAUGCAGAGAAUGGCACAUGGUGUAAGAGUAUUGGUUGUGAGUGCAUACAUGUAUGAAUGUGAAUUGUUUUAUAUGUUAUUUGUGUUUUUUUUAAGUCGUUAUUUUAUAUUUUACCAAUAUUUUUAAACAUAUUUUUUAUUUGUAUAUAUACAAAUUUUGUUUAAAAGAAAAAUCAGGAUUUAUAAAUAUUGUAAAUAGCUCUGUUGCAAUCUUUCUUAUAUUGUUCAAUUGAAGUGUGAUGUUUACUUGUUUGAAACUAGACUGUCAAAUCCUUACACAUCUUUGUUUUUUAAAAAACGACAAAAAUCCUGCAGAUUUUUAACUUGAAUGAAACUCAUUUUUGUAACAGUGACUCUGUAUCUUUAUAUUAACAGAAGUGUAAUGAAGUCAAAAAUAUGUAUAUUAAAAUGACACAACAUAUUAAUUUCUUCUUUUUAUAGGAGCCAAACUAAUAAUGGCAUUGCCUUAAAAAAAUAUAUCCAGUUUUUGAAACCAUAUAAGCAAUUACUUGGCAUCUAUAGUCUGUUGUUUGUUGUCC
rnacentral:lncRNA from 1 species